rnacentral:rRNA from 1 species
UGAUUUUAUCUGACAAAGAGUGGCGAACGGGUGAGUAACACGUGGGUAACCUACCUCUUAGCAGGGGAUAACAUUUGGAAACAAGUGCUAAUACCGUAUAAUACCAACAACCGCAUGGUUGUUGGUUGAAAGAUGGUUCUGCUAUCACUAAGAGAUGGACCCGCGGUGCAUUAGCUAGUUGGUAAGGUAACGGCUUACCAAGGCAAUGAUGCAUAGCCGAGUUGAGAGACUGAUCGGCCACAAUGGGACUGAGACACGGCCCAUACUCCUACGGGAGGCAGCAGUAGGGAAUCUUCCACAAUGGGCGCAAGCCUGAUGGAGCAACGCCGCGUGUGUGAUGAAGGGUUUCGGCUCGUAAAACACUGUUAUAAGAGAAGAACGGCACUGAGAGUAACUGUUCAGUGUGUGACGGUAUCUUACCAGAAAGGAACGGCUAAAUACGUGCCAGCAGCCGCGGUAAUACGUAUGUUCCAAGCGUUAUCCGGAUUUAUUGGGCGUAAAGCGAGCGCAGACGGUUAUUUAAGUCUGAAGUGAAAGCCCUCAGCUCAACUGAGGAAUGGCUUUGGAAACUGGAUGACUUGAGUGCAGUAGAGGAAAGUGGAACUCCAUGUGUAGCGGUGAAAUGCGUAGAUAUAUGGAAGAACACCAGUGGCGAAGGCGGCUUUCUGGACUGUAACUGACGUUGAGGCUCGAAAGUGUGGGUAGCAAACAGGAUUAGAUACCCUGGUAGUCCACACCGUAAACGAUGAGUGCUAGAUGUUCGAGGGUUUCCGCCCUUGAGUGUCGCAGCUAACGCAUUAAGCACUCCGCCUGGGGAGUACGACCGCAAGGUUGAAACUCAAAGGAAUUGACGGGGACCCGCACAAGCGGUGGAGCAUGUGGUUUAAUUCGAAGCAACGCGAAGAACCUUACCAGGUCUUGACAUCCCUUGCUAAUCCUAGAAAUAGGACGUUCCCUUCGGGGACAAGGUGACAGGUGGUGCAUGGUUGUCGUCAGCUCGUGUCGUGAGAUGUUGGGUUAAGUCCCGCAACGAGCGCAACCCUUAUUAUUAGUUGCCAGCAUUCAGUUGGGCACUCUAGUGAGACUGCCGGUGACAAACCGGAGGAAGGUGGGGAUGACGUCAAAUCAUCAUGCCCCUUAUGACCUGGGCUACACACGUGCUACAAUGGCAUAUACAACGAGU